UACGUAGGUGGCAAGCGUUGUCCGGAUUUAUUGGGUUUAAAGGGUGCGUAGGCGGUUCCAUAAGUCAGUGGUGAAAUACAAUAGCUUAACUAUUGAGGUGCCAUUGAUACUGCGGAACUUGAGUACAGACGAGGUAGGCGGGAUUGACGGUGUAGCGGUGAAAUGCUUAGAUAUCGUCAAGAACACCGAUAGCGAAGGCAGCUUACUAGACUGUAACUGACGCUGAGGCACGAAAGUGUGGGGAUCAAACAGG
rnacentral:rRNA from 1 species